UGGGGAAUAUUGCACAAUGGGGGAAACCCUGAUGCAGCGACGCCGCGUGAGUGAAGAAGUAUUUCGGUACGUAAAGCUCUAUCAGCAGGAAAGAAAAUGACGGUACCUGACUAAGAAGCCCCGGCUAACUACGUGCCAGCAGCCGCGGUAAUACGUAGGGGGCAAGCGUUAUCCGGAUUUACUGGGUGUAAAGGGAGCGUAGACGGUAAUGCAAGUCUGGAGUGAAAUGCCGGGGCCCAACCCCGGAACUGCUCUGGAAACUGUGAUACUGGAGUGCAGGAGAGGUAAGCGGAAUUCCUGGUGUAGCGGUGAAAUGCGUAGAUAUCAGGAGGAACACCGGUGGCGAAGGCGGCUUACUGGACUGUAACUGACGUUGAGGCUCGAAAGCGUGGGGAGCAAACAGG
rnacentral:rRNA from 1 species